UGUCGCUCAAUGAUGCAGUGCUCAAUUUCAACUUUGUUAGAAUUUUGAUGCUGGAAGCGCGUGCCUUGGAAUGCUAGAGAGACAGACAGACAACGGUUGAUGGCGGACGCGAGAAUAGACUGUCAUAACGUCGUAUGCUGCAUAAAUAAUUUCAACAGAAUAACAACAAUUAUGUCUAUGUAGCUGUAUCUGGUCUUGGCACUGGUAGAAUUCACUGAGAAUCCUAAUAUCAGUGAUUCACCGGUUCCAAAUUCGGUCGGCAAAAAUCAUCUAGAAUUGAUUGGAAUCUGUGGUGAUUGGAGUUUGAUGUACGGUGACAAACAGAUUUUAUGAAAAAGUGAUUGAUGGUGAUAGUUAACAGAUAUAAUGUCAUGUUAAUGGGGACCGGAUGUGGAGAGAAAUAAGCCAUCAACAGAUUAACUUUAGCAAACCUAUGAUUUGAUUCUGGUGAUCUGCCACACAGAAGCAGAGAAAAACAGAAAAAUCCCAAUAGACUGGGUAUUUAGGUUGGAUGACCAAAAGAUUUUAGACGAAUAUCUCAUGCUUCAUAGAGAUGACGUUAGGAGCAGACUUGAAAAGAUGAAGUCGUUGGUUGUGAUUGUUCUUCUCGGCAUAAUAUCAGCUGCCCAGGCUUAUUAUUGCCAGUAUUAUGACAGUUUUGGUACAUUGAAGCAUAAAUAUUGUUCGUAUGGAUGCUGUGGUGGAUUUCACCCAUCAUCACUCACAGCUUGUUGCACAACUUACAUUACGACGACAGUUAAUAUUGGUACUGUAGCUGGAGCAGUUGUUGGAAGUAUUGUUUGUCUAGCUGUGUUUAUAGCUAUUAUUAUCAUUAUAUGCAGAAGGCGCAGAGCCACCGUAAUUUACUCAAGUGGUGGCUGUGGUCCUACGGUCAGCACAGUUACAACAACAGCACACCCUGCUCCAUAUACGUCUUAUGGAUACAACUAACCUCAUGUUAUUUAUAUUUAGAGAUUGAAGGUAUUUGAUGUACUCAAACACCAAAGAUAUUUAAUUGAUUCAAACACUGUCAAUCUUUUAUUUAUUCACAUACUGAUGCUGUUAGUUCGUUAAAAUCGGUUGUAGUUUUUAAGCUCUUAUGUAAAGAUAUUUGUAAUUUCAGAUGUAAAAUCUAUCGUAAUUUAUUUAACAUGUAAAAUCUAUUGUAAUUUAUUCCACAUGUAAAAUAUAUUGUACAUUAG